rnacentral:rRNA from 2 species
UACGGAGGGAGCUAGCGUUGUUCGGAUAUACUGGGCGUAAAGCGCACGUAGGCGGCGCCGUAAGUCAGGGGUGAAAUCCCGGAGCUCAACUCCGGAACUGCCCUUGAAACUGCAGUGCUAGAAUCUUGGAGAGGCGAGUGGAAUUCCGAGUGUAGAGGUGAAAUUCGUAGAUAUUCGGAAGAACACCAGUGGCGAAGGCGACUCGCUGGACAAGUAUUGACGCUGAGGUGCGAAAGCGUGGGGAGCAAACAGG